rnacentral:tRNA from 1 species
GCGCCGGUAGCUCAGCUGGAUAGAGCGGGGGAUUUCUAAUCCCCAGGUCGAGGGUUCGAGUCCUUCCCGGCGCGCCA